rnacentral:rRNA from 1 species
GGCAAUUUCCCAAUCGGAAUUUGGGAGGUUGGGCCAAAAAAUUCAAUAAGGGGACGGAGGUCUUUUUAAUGGAAUGAAACAAUCUAACCCCUUUUUAAGGACCAGCGAGGGCCAGUUUGGUUCCAGCAGCCGCGGUAAUUCCAGUUCUGUAAGCGAUACCAAAGUGUUGCAGUUAAACGCUGGUAGUCGAACUUUGGCCUGAGUUACGGAGGCUCCUAAUGGACGUUGAAGUAAUUCCGCCUUUGUGGAGGGGGGUGUGGUGGUACUUUAUUGUAUUGCUGCGCUUCCGCCACUGUUUACUGUGAAAAAAUUAGAGUGUUCAAAGCGAGCGUUUGCCAUGAAUACAUUAGCAUGGAAUAAUAGAAUAGGACCUGGUCCUGUUUUAUUGGUUUGUCUGUAUCAGGUAAUGAUUAACAGGGACGGUCGGGGGCAUUUGUAUUCCAGCGUUAGAGGUGAAAUUCUUGGAUCGCUGGAAGACAAACAGCUGCGAAAGCGUCUGCCAAGGACGUUUUCAUUGAUCAAGAACGAAAGUAAGGGGAUCGAAGACGAUCAGAUACCGUCGUAGUCUUUACUAUAAACGAUGAUGACUAAGGAUCAGCCGUGGCCUAUUGGUACGGUUGGCACUUUCCGGGAAACCAAAGUUUUUGAUUUCUGGGGGGAGUAUGGUCGCAAGUCUGAAACUUAAAGGAAUUGACGGAAGGGCAUCACCGGGUGUGGAGCCUGCGGCUUAAUUUGACUCAACACGGGAAAACUUACCAGGUCCAGACAUAGUAAGGAUUGACAGAUUGAGAGCUCUUUCUUGAUUCUAUGGUUGGUGGUGCAUGGCCGUUCUUAGUUGGUGGAGUGAUCUGUCUGGUUAAUUCCGUUAACGAGCGAGACCUGGGCGUGCUAACUAGGGCAUGUUAUUCUUGUAAUAGCAUCGUCCUUCUUAGACGGACUGUAGGCUUUUAGCCUAUGGAAGCUCCAGGCAAUAACAGGUCUGAGAUGCCCUUAGAUGUUCUGGGCCGCACGCGUGCUACACUGAACGGUUCAAUGGGUGAGGUAGUGCGAAAGCAUGACCCAAUCUCAAAAUCCGUUCGUGAUGGGGAUAGAAGCUUGCAAUUAUCCUUCUUGAACGAGGAAUACCUUGUAAGCGUGAGUCAUCAUCUCACGCUGAAUACGUCCCUGCCCUUUGUACACACCGCCCGUCGCUCCUACCGAUUGAGUGGUCCGGUGAGGCUUUGGGAGAGCCGGAUGGAUUGUGUUUCACAAACCGUUUGGCUUGAACUUAGUC